GUUUCCGCUUUCACGUCCUUGUUGUCCUGAGACCACCAUGGGAGAAGGCCUGAGCCGGUCUCCUGGAUGAUGAGAAUCCAUAUGGAGACGGGCACAGCCGACAGCCAGCAACGCUACCAGAUAGCAUCUCCCAGAGGCUUCUCAUGCUCCUUGGCUCUCAGCUUCCUUCCAUCUACGAAGGCAGCACCUGCACCACUCUGACCUCUGCUCCCAGGAUUGUUGCUUCUCCUUCUCGGACUCCUGCCUUCCUCUUACGAGGACCCUUGUGACUACAGUGGGCCCACUCAGAUAAUCCAGGAUACUCUCUGUUUUAAGGUUCAAUGAGAUCAGGUGCCAGUCAUUGGGUGGUGAAGCCAGGAGUUAUCCACACACCAAGGCUCUGGACAGAAGGUGAUGCUGACACUUAGGAUGCAAGAGUCACCCUCCAGUGGCGGCCCAACACUCCCUUGUUAAAACUCAUUGGCAUUUUCUGUGCCCAUGAAUUAAAUGGCAGCUCUCCUUCUGCUGUACCCUCUCUUGAGUGCUGGAAAAGAAAAAGACACCCAGGAACACAAGAACACAUGGAAAUAAGACAUUGUGGGAAAAUAAGGUAGAGUAAGUCCAGUAACCAGUCUCAAAAAUGGCCCCCUGAAAUUCCUGUAUCCUGGUAGUCACAUCCUUGGUUAGUCCUCCACAUUAUACCAAGUAGGUCUGUGUGACAAUAUGGCAGAAGUGAUGGUAUGUCACUUCCAAGGUGAGACUCCAAAUGACAUUGCAGCUUCCAUCUGGUUUGCCCUCUCAGUCCCUACCUCCUCUGCAACAUGCUCUGGGAGAAGCCAGUGGCCAUGUCCUGAGGACAUUCAGGAAACCCCAUAGGGAAGCCAUGUGACGAGGAACUGAGACUUCCAGGGUGAGUUAGCCUUGGAAAUAAAUCCUCCAGCAACAGCCAAGGCUCCAGAUCAUGCAACCUAGACACUGGG